AGUGGACGCUGGCGGUAGGCCUAACACAUGCAAGUCGAACGGCAGCACAGUAAGAGCUUGCUCUUACGGGUGGCGAGUGGCGGACGGGUGAGGAAUACAUCGGAAUCUACUUUUUCGUGGGGGAUAACGUAGGGAAACUUACGCUAAUACCGCAUACGACCUACGGGUGAAAGCAGGGGAUCUUCGGACCUUGCGCGAUUGAAUGAGCCGAUGUCGGAUUAGCUAGUUGGCGGGGUAAAGGCCCACCAAGGCGACGAUCCGUAGCUGGUCUGAGAGGAUGAUCAGCCACACUGGAACUGAGACACGGUCCAGACUCCUACGGGAGGCAGCAGUGGGGAAUAUUGGACAAUGGGCGCAAGCCUGAUCCAGCCAUACCGCGUGGGUGAAGAAGGCCUUCGGGUUGUAAAGCCCUUUUGUUGGGAAAGAAAAGCAGCAGGUUAAUACCCCGCUGUUCUGACGGUACCCAACGAAUAAGCACCGGCUAACUUCGUG
rnacentral:rRNA from 1 species